rnacentral:rRNA from 1 species
GACGGAGGAUGCAAGCGUUAUCCGGAAUUAUUGGGCGUAAAGCGUCCGCAGGUGGCUUUUCAAGUCUGUUGUCAAAGCGCGGGGCUUAACUCCGUACAGGCAAUGGAAACUGUGAAGCUAGAGUAUGGUAGGGGUAGAGGGAAUUCCCGGUGUAGCGGUGAAAUGCGUAGAUAUCGGGAAGAACACCAGUGGCGAAAGCGGCUCUCUGGGACGGUACUGACGCUGAGACGCGAAAGCGUGGGGAGCGAACAGG